rnacentral:rRNA from 1 species
GACGAGCGCUGGCGGCGUGCCUAAUACAUGCAAGUUGAGCGCUGAAGGUUGGUACUUGUACCAACUGGAUGAGCAGCGAACGGGUGAGUAACGCGUGGGGAAUCUGCCUUUGAGCGGGGGACAACAUUUGGAAACGAAUGCUAAUACCGCAUAAAAACUUUAAACACAAGUUUUAAGUUUGAAAGAUGCAAUUGCAUCACUCAAAGAUGAUCCCGCGUUGUAUUAGCUAGUUGGUGAGGUAAAGGCUCACCAAGGCGAUGAUACAUAGCCGACCUGAGAGGGUGAUCGGCCACAUUGGGACUGAGACCCGGCCCAAACUCCUACGGGAGGCAGCAGUAGGGAAUCUUCGGCAAUGGACGAAAGUCUGACCGAGCAACGCCGCGUGAGUGAAGAAGGUUUUCGGAUCGUAAAACUCUGUUGGUAGAGAAGAACGUUGGUGAGAGUGGAAAGCUCAUCAAGUGACGGUAACUACCCAGAAAGGGACGGCUAACUACGUG